rnacentral:lncRNA from 1 species
CUUUUAUUCCUGCGCUUCUCAGUAUCAGGGAGCAGGUUUAUCAUUAAAAAUGUAAAUUACAGGGCUGGCCUGGUCGCUCAGUGGUUAAGUUCGUGUGCUCUGCUUUGGUGGCCUGGAGUUCAGCAGUUCAGAUCCCGAGUGCAGACCUACACACUGUUUGGCAAGCCAUGUUGUGGCACAUGCCCCACAUAUAAAGUAGAGGAAGAUGGGCACGGAUGUUAGCUCAGGGCCAGUCUUCCUCAGCAAAAAGAGGAGGAUUGGCAGCAGAUGUUAGCUCAGGGCUAAUCUUCCUCAAAAAAAAAAAAAGUUACCUUGGGGGAGGAGGCAUAACAGUAGAGCCCUGCCUUUGCUGAUGUCACAAGUCUCUUUGGAACACCAAGAUGCUGCGGUCUUGCAAGUCCAUUAAAUGGCAGAACUUGAUUGUAUGUCAUUAACCUGGAGUCUUCAUCAAACUCAUGAGGGUGUAAACCAUAGCUUCUUGUCCGCAGAGCCGAAGACCAGAGAGAGAGCUAUAAAAAACAGUGAGAAUGAUGCUCUUGAUAGAUUUCUUCACAAAGAACUGUAACUCUGGUCAAUAGUGGAGAACUUGAAUAUUGCGAUCACUUGUUCUUUGUGCAAAAUAUUGGACCGAGAAACCUGGAGCUGCAGCUGACAGAGAACAAACUAGAAUUUAGACUGACCAACCCAUGAACUCUCUAGUUGUGGGGAAUCUGUGAAUAUAAGCUCUUGAAGAGUUGGCCCUACUUUUGUUUCCAACGAGGAAGGUAUGUCACUAGAAACAAGCCGCCGUCUGUGACAAAGCCACCCUUUGCCACGACAGUCACCGUGAAACACAUUCGUGUGAACAUUUCUAAGAGACGAAGGCCCACCACUUUUAGUCCCAACUUUUGGAGAUUAUUAAGUAAUCCGGGAUCCUUUGAAAUCACGCCAGUGUUGAUUCUUCAGAGUUUCCAAGUUGGAGGAUCAGGGGGCAGGAGGAGAUGCAGACGCUUCGCUCCUUUGCAGAUCUGCCUAAAAUUUGCAGAGCAGCCUGGUUUUUCAGAAGAACGGAUGAGAAACAAUCAGCCUCCUUGACGUGCCAAUAUCCCUUGGCCCUGAACUAUAGCUGAGUUAUUAAAGAACACAGGUUCUCCGAUCUGUUCUUUCAGAGCAAGGGCCUCUGAAGUGAUUUGCCCUGAAAUGUAAAAUUGCACUAAACUUGGCUACCCUAACUGUCUGCUGUCUCAUUAUUUGUCUGAGGAUUAUUCCUGCCAGUGACACUCAUUUCCAAAUGGGAAAUUGUAUCAUUUAACUCUUUUCCAACAAUGUAGCCAUAUAUGGAAAGAUGUCUGCAAGAAGCCUG